ensembl:lncRNA
GAUUGCAGCUUCGCGAUUGUUUCCCUCUGAAGACCAAAGGUUACUCACAGCAGAGCGAAGGCAGCCAGCUUCGUUUGGCCUGAUUUAUCCUUUUAAAGGUAGAACAAUGGACGGUGAAUAAGAACGACGUCACCCAUUGGUUUGUAGACUGAGCUCUCAAGUUCCUCAUUUUCAUCGCCAUCUUGUCCAUCUUUGUUUUCUGCAACCAUUGAACGAAAGGUCCUGUACUUGGACCGCGGAGGCAUAACGUCGUGGUAGCACAAGGCGCCGUGAAGCAAACCAUGUUCUCUCUUGGUCCAAAGACGCGCAGCUCAGGACAGGCGGAUAAAGACAAUAGAGCAAUUGAAGACGGCCUUAAACUAGAGAUUAAGACCAUAAAGUCAUAUCAUGUAAAUCAAGUGGAAAAAGCAGCGCUGUCAGCACUGCAAAAGGCUCCAUGCAAAGCAAUGUGAUGGAGAUAAAGAGGAAACAAACAAAUGCUCUGUCAGGAGAGGAGGAGGAGGAGGAGGAGAGGGAGGAAAGAGACUGGGAAAAGGAGAGGGAGAACAUGUGGAGGACAGCCGGUGGAGGAAAGGAUGAAAGAAUCGAGAAGAGGAGAGACAGAAGUGAACAGUUUCAGGUGGCUAAAGACUGCGCGGACCAACAGGAAGUAACAGUCCUCAUGUUUUGGAUUGUAAGAAAAGAAACCGAGUGUUGUGUAACCUAAACUAGAUUAGUAUUCAAUGGAGGUGUUUGAAUUCCUCCACUCAGCUGGUGGGUUCCGUUGUUCUUCAGACAUGCUCACCAGCGUGUGGGGAGUCUUAUUUUCUAUUUGUCGUUGUGAAAACUCUGGAACAGGGAAAUCCAACUUUCGGUGAUUUAUGCCACACAAACAGUUAUAAGGAUGCAUGAAUCCGAGAGCUCUCAAGGUGUUGUGGGGAAUUAAACAAUGUAAGCUGAUCUGCAUUCCCCAAAGGCCUCACUGAAGUGUUUGUAUCUUAACAGCUCUGACAGAAAUUAUAACUCAACCUCAAACGGGGAGAAGGGAUUUUUCAUACGCAUUUGAAAGACUUCACAAAC